rnacentral:lncRNA from 1 species
UACAUGAAUCAUCCCGUUUAAUCUUCACAACAAUUCUAGGUCCUUUUAUCCUCAUUUCACAGAUAAGGAAACCGAGACUCACGGAGGUUAAGUAAAUUGCCUAAGGUUACACAGCCAGUAAACUCAAAAAGCUAGACCUGGACUCAGAUUUGCCAGCCUCCAAAGGCUUCCAGACUUCUAACUGUAAUGCUAAUAUACAGCAAAUAGUCUUUAGUUGUGGAUUUUCUCACUAGCAUAACAGCAUUGAUCAGGUCAUAUUUUAGCAAGUGAUUUUCAAAUAUGAAAUGAUAGAGAUAACGUACAAAGGUCAGGCAAUUUUAAGCAAAUGCUCUUACAGGUGUGUACUAGGAUAGAGCCUUAAAACCAUUGACUCCUUCUAAACAUGGAGUUCAGACAUUCGAAUACAUUUACCUAGUAAAGUUCUAAUAGAAAAAGAGUUAUUUUAGGGCUAGUAUAAGGCCACUCAUGUAUUCCCAGUGUCAACUGUGCUCGACGUAGUAAGUGUGGAAUUAAUGUCUAGUGACCGGUUAGAUGACCCGCGUAGUGGGUCUUUUCAAAUCUCACAUGGAGGAUCUCAUACAAAAACAUCAAGAACAUUAAAGCAAGCCCUGACAAUAAUUUUUUAAAAAUAACAGUCUAUUUCCAGGGUAAACAAUUACUUUGUCACGCCGCUGCUUAGGGGUGGGAGAACCUGCUUCUGAUGUGGGUCCAGGUUGAGGAACACUUCGCCACUUGAGAAUGCAAGUAAAGUCCAGAAAUCCAGGACCACAGCAAUACUCCAGCCCAGGGUUGCAGGGCAGCCUCUUUACCAGCCGGGCGACCCAUUUCUAUCUAGGCGCCCGCGAAGCGCCGAUGUGGGCGGGGGACCGCUCCCAGCCUGAACAGUGGGUGGGCCCGCUAUGACAAUGCAGGAAUUCCGCGCCUGCUGCAGGGUUUGGGGAUCUGUCGGAAGGGUGGGAGGGAGCACUUUUCACCUGACACACCCAACCCCCCUGCUGCAGUCCAGGGCCGCGGAUGAACGGAAGGCAAGCGGUUCAAUACUGUCAGAUCAGUGGACUUGAGCUGCAGCAGAGCGGCCCACCCCGCCGCCCGCACACGCUCAGUCCCUCCGAGCAGGCCAGGCAGCAACGCACGCGCAGUCUGUUCUCGCUCGCUCCAUCAGUCCC